rnacentral:rRNA from 1 species
AGAGUUUGAUCCUGGCUCAGCGCGAACGUUGGCGGCGCGCCUAACACAUGCAAGUCGUGGGGCAGCAGGCUACUACCUUCGGGUAGUAGUGCUGGCGACCGGCAAACGGGUGAGUAACGCGUAGCUUACCUACCCCAAGGUUGGGGAUAACCACCCGAAAGGGUGGCUAAUACCCAAUAAUGAGGAGACUCCAAAGCCCAAAAGGCGCCUUGGGAUGGGGCUGCGUCCCAUCAGCUAGUUGGUGAGGUAAUGGCUCACCAAGGCUACGACGGGUAACCGGUCUGAGAGGAUGAUCGGUCACAGCGGGACUGAGACACGGCCCGCACCCCUACGGGGGGCAGCAGUGGGGAAUAUUGGGCAAUGGCCGAAAGGCUGACCCAGCGACGCCGCGUGGUGGAUGAAGCCCUUCGGGGUGUAAACACCUUUUCUGGGGGAAGAUAAUGACGGUACCCCAGGAAUAAGGGACGGCUAACUACGUGCCAGCAGCCGCGGUAAUACGUAGGUCCCAAACGUUGCGCGAAAUUACUGGGCGUAAAGGGUCCGUAGGCGGUCUGGUAAGUGGAAGGUGAAAUCCUACGGCUCAACCGUAGAAUUGCCUUCCAAACUGCUGGACUUGAGGCAGGGAGAGGUCGGCGGAAUUCCCGGUGUAGCGGUGAAAUGCGUAGAUAUCGGGAGGAACACCAGUGGCGAAGGCGGCCGACUGGAACUGUCCUGACGCUGAGGGACGAAAGCUAGGGGAGCAAACCGGAUUAGAUACCCGGGUAGUCCUAGCCGUAAACGAUGGAUGCUAGAUGUGGUCUACGAAAGUAGGCCGUAUCGCAAGCUAACGCGUUAAGCAUCCCGCCUGGGGAGUACGGCCGCAAGGUUGAAACUCAAGGGAAUUGACGGGGACCCGCACAACCGGUGGAGCGUCUGGUUUAAUUCGAUGCUAACCGAAAAACCUUACCAGGGCUUGACAUGCGGUGUGUCGGGUAUGAAAGUACCCUAGGCUAUGAUUAUUCAUAGCCGCGCCGCACAGGUGGUGCAUGGUCGUCGUCAGCUCGUGUCGUGAGAUUUUGGGUUAAGUCCCGCAACGAGCGCAACCC